CCUACGGGAGGCAGCAGUGGGGAAUAUUGGGCAAUGGGCGCAAGCCUGACCCAGCAACGCCGCGUGAAGGAAGAAGGCUUUCGGGUUGUAAACUUCUUUUCUCAGGGACGAAGCAAGUGACGGUACCUGAGCAAUAAGCCACGGCUAACUACGUGCCAGCAGCCGCGGUAAUACGUAGGUGGCAAGCGUUAUCCGGAUUUACUGGGUUUAAAGGGCGUGUAGGCGGGAAGGCAAGUCAGAUGUGAAAACCAUGGGCUUAACCUGUGGCCUGCCUUUGAAACUGUAUUCCUUGAGUACUGGAGAGGCAUACGGAAUGCCUGGUGUAGCGGUGAAAUGCGUAGAUAUUAGGCAGAACACCAGUGGCGAAGGCGGUCUGCUGGACCGCAACUGACGCUGAGGCGCGAAAGCGUGGGGAGCGAACAGGAUUAGAUACCCCAGUAGUC
rnacentral:rRNA from 1 species